rnacentral:lncRNA from 1 species
CGGAAGGCUGAUGGUGGCAUUACCUGCGUGCAAAUCACCUCAAGGUAGAAUCGAAAGAAAACAGAGCAGUGAUGACUCAUCCUGCACUACACAGAUUUUUUGUCCAAUCAGAUGCUCUCUCUUGAAGAAUGGCCCGCCCCCUUAGCCACAUACAACCGACUAGAAAUGGAGCAGUGAUGACUCAUCCAGCACUACAGAUUUUUGUCCAAUCAGAUGCUCUCUUGAAGGAGAACAUCCCGCCCCCUUAUGCUGCACACAACCGACUACUGGCCCAUCCCAAGAGUGUUGUGCAUUGUGCCGGACUGAAGAAAUCUCAUCACUGUAUUGAUACAUCACAAAAGCCAAGCACAAUCAUCAUCUGUGAAAGAUCCUCUGAGACCAAUUUAAACCCCAAAGACUUUGACCAUAACAUUUAAAUCAGCAAAACGGUCUAAUUCAGUGUUGGCUAUGAUAGUCCUGAAUACAAUUAUUGUACCUUCAACAUGGCAGAAUUCAUUAAAAUAGCCAUAUAACUGAUAUCAGUGUUAGUCCAAUAUUUCCAUAAUUUCCUCACUGUAAAAUAAUUGGACCUAGAUCUCGUUUUAAGGCCAUGGGAGAACUUUGAUGGCACUCAUUUGCAAUGAGGGUGUCUUUUUCAAACAAGACAUUAAUUAAGUUAGAGUAUCC